CCUACGGGAGGCAGCAGUGGGGAAUAUUGGGCAAUGGAGGAAACUCUGACCCAGCAAUGCAGCGUGAAUGAAGAAGGUCUUCGGAUUGUAAAGUUCUUUAGUCAGGGAAGAAUAACAUGACGGUACCUGAAGAAUAAGCUCCGGCUAACUACGUGCCCGCAGCCGCGGCGAUACGUAGGGAGCAAGCGUUGUUCGGAAUGAGUGGGGGUAAAGGGUGCGUAGGCGGUUAUACAAGUUAGAAGUGGAAUACCCAGGGCUUAACUCGGGUGCUGCUGCGAGAACUGGAAGGCUGGAGUGCGGUGAAGGCUGGUGGAAUUCGUCGUGUAGCGGUGAAAUGCGUAGAUAUGACGAAGAACCCCGAGGGCGAAGGCAGCUAGCUGCAGUGGAACUGACGCUGAUGCGCGAAAGUGCGGGUAGCGAACAGGAUUAGAUACCCGUGUAGUC
rnacentral:rRNA from 1 species